ensembl:lncRNA
ACAGUUCUAAAGAGGGAGCUGCAACAAAGCAGAAUAAUUGCUGGUACGGGCUAUCAAAUUUACAUAAAAAAAGAUUAAAAAGCUGAUUUACAUUUAAAAAACAAGAUCAGGCAACAUCUAAAAUAGAUAACACAACCCGCUGAGAAAAACUCUUUUCAUCAAUAAAGGAGAAGCAAAGGUGAUUAUACAUAACAAAACUAAUCCCCUAUAUUGCCUUAAUCACCGGAAACUGCUUUAACUGUUUAUUUGGGAACUGUUAUGUGAAAAAAAAAUAUUGCAUGUAAAAGUGUCUAAUUUCCAGGUUGCAGUAAGACACAGACACCAGCAAGAUCCCGCUCACACACUCCCUGUUCACCGCCUGCUGUCUCCUCGAGAGCCUGUCUUCUCUUGGUUAUCAAAUUUUUCACCAAUUACAAAUCUGCUCAUUCUAGAACUUGAAAAUUUGCCAUAUAAUUGGUUUAACAGGUGCUUCCAGAAUAGCCAUGCUGUUUAUUGUUAAAGCAUCUCAUGAACAAAGUAGAUUGUGAAGACUUUCCUUCCUGGACUGAGCACCUAUGUGGCAUUUUAACUUUUUUCAAAACAGAGAAAGAGCAUCAUUACCUGAAUUUUAACAUGUGCCAGCACCAGAUCCUUUGUUCAUAUUUACUAUUUUACUGCGUGUGUGUUUUCAAGAAGAGUAUUUUAUUCUUUAUUUGGGUACAUUCAUGAUUUGAGCUUGAGGAAUCAAAAACAGUUAAACAUAUCUCAAAAUUGAGGGGUCAACUGCCACUAACGUAUAUGCUAUUGGUCAUAGAGCAUCCUGUUAAAUCACACUAGAAGUCAAGAAGAAAAUUACAAUUAUCUCAGUCAUGAAUUUGAGUUAAGAAAAACAGAAAGAUAGGAAUUGGGAGAAAUUCCCAUUUCAGUCCAUUUAUAAAGAAGCAAUGAAAUGCUAGUGAUGUUGAAAGCUUUCAAUAUACCCCACGACAGGGCUCAGGACACGACAGCCCAAAAUAUGGCACCUUGGCAUAUUGAAUAGUUUAAGCUGAAAUUUGAGAAACAGCAGGUGCAGGAAGGACCCUCUGACCCUCCCUGAAGCAGGUCACUAAACCCUCAUGAGAGAGGCCCUCCUGGUGCCCGAGGAGAGGAGCAUCCUUACCUCCGAGGAAGGAGGGAUGCUGAGAAGGAUCUGGACCAAGAGGCCUUGCUGUGUUUCCCCAGUUCACUCCCCUCAGCUCAUACUCUUUGCCCUAUCGCAUUUUCCAUGACUUUCCGCUCUUCAUCAAACCUAGUAUAAAAACACUCAGGUUCAAUCGCUUCUUCAGGUCCUCGUUUUCUCACGAAGUCUCCCAUGUCAUAUACACCUUAUGUUAAAUAAAUUUCUAUGCUUUUCUCUUAUUCAUCUGUGUUUUGUUAGAAGGGCCCCAGCCAGACACCUAGAAGGGUAGAAGGAAAAGAUAUUUUUCUUCCCCUGCACAACCCAUCAAGAUAAACAAUGUGAAGACAAACAAACUCCAAACUUAAGAGAAGAUAGAGGUGACUUUAAAUUAUUUUACAAAUUCUCUCAAAAUUUGUCCAAAUUUGUCCCCUAGCCCCUCUGUCUUCAAACUCUUCAUGUGAAAAGUGCCUCCUGCAUGUUGUUUACAUGGAGUAGUUCCAAUUGCACAUGUUUGUGAAUCAAAUAGAGAGUAUCUCUAUGUUACAAAGGCAUCAAACAUUAUCUGGCGAAGUUGGGCAUCACUUCUUUUUAUCAAAUGAAUCCUGUUUCCCAUUCAUUUCUACUAUAAAUAGGAAACGUGAUUCCACAGGAAACAAAAAAGAGAGCUUAUGGCAAAAAGGAAAGAUACGGUGGACAGGGGGUCAGCACAGCGGCCUCUCCUGAACUGUGGUCCUCAGAGCACCGAGCUCCCCAGAAACUGGAAACGCCAUGCACGUCCACUGUGGAAGAGCGCUGACUAACGGCUCCCCUCAUCGUGUCCUAAACCUGUAACUUUCUACAUCCGGUUUCUUAAAAGUAACACAAUAAAAAGUGUCACAGAGGGUAGAGGUUAAGGACAGGCCACGAACCCUCACACACACACUGAAACAACAGCACGACAAGAACUGAAAAGAGGACGGUUCCGAAACCGUGAGGCCCCCAGUGCCAUCUGUGUGAGCGUCUCCUUCCAUGGCACAGUCCUAAGCACUCCCAGGGCUCAGGGAAGCCGAGGACUGAAUCCCAGAGAGAGAGGCAGUGACAACGAGAUUACAGCUUCACUUCGCCCCGAUGUUCUCCAGGACUUGGGGCAGCCGCUUAGCCUCAGACCAUCUCAGCUCACCCAUCAGCAAAAGGGUUCUGUGGCUUUCCUGCAUAGCUCCAAAAGAAAAUGAAAAGGUGAACUAGAAACUGCAAGUCACUCUGAAUCCCUUGGGUAAAGGUCUUAUAAAUAUUUAUUACUGUUGUUAUUAUUACAGUGAAACAUGCUUCAGCCCUCGACACAACUAUUUCGACUGGACGAGCAAUGCACAUGGGGAGAGAAGAUAAAAGCUCGCUGUCACUGAGUAGCCAUGUGAACUGGAAUCUAGGCAGCAUCCGCCAUGUAAUAUUUGCAAAUGUCCACCAUAUGCUAAGAUACGAAAUACAGAAAAGACACAGCCUGUACUUUAAGUAUGGAGGGUAAAGCGGAAGAUAGGGCAAAACAUACAGAGAAAUAAGACGUGAAAGCAUACGACAGGAGAUGCUCUAAACAAAAGCACAAACAAGGUGGGGGAAUCUCAAGAUGUAACGGCAAGCAAGUGAGGCCAGAUACAAAGGAAUACAGACUGUAUGAUUCUAUUUACAUGAAGCUCAAGAAGCACAGCUCUUCUGUUAUCAGAAGACAGAAGAGUGGUUACCUGUUCCUGGUGGGUGGAUGAUAAUGGACUGAGAAGGAAACAUCCUAGAUCUCGACACAGGUGGUGCUUUCCUGGAAAUACGUUUGUAAAAAUUCAUCAACCUGCACCCUUAAGAUGUGUGCCCUUUAUGUAUGUUAUUCCACAUUUUUUUUUUUUUUUGGUGAAGAAGAUUGGCCCUGAGCUAACAUGUGUUGCCAAUGUUUUUCCUCUUUUUGCUUGAGGAAGAUUGCUGCUGAGCUAACAACUGUGCCAAUCUUCCUCUAUUUUAUGCGGGACGCCACCACAGAAUGGCUUGAUGAGCAGUGUGUAGGUCUGCACCCCAGAUCCAAACCCUUGAACUCUGGGCCGCGAAAGCCAAGCGCACGAACUUAACCACUACACCACUGUGCUGGCCCCUCCAUGAAUUUUUUUUUUAAUUUUAAAUGAAGAAAGCCUGCAUGUGUCUUCACUUUGACUGAGCACACCUCUGUGGAAUUCUAAUGAGCAAUGUCAGAGGGAUGGAGGAGUGACCCGAGUGAGCAGACAGGGGCAGGGUCCUCAGAGAAUGUUCCAGGAGCGUGGUUUCUGUAUGCUGAGGGACUUGAUUCGGCAGAGGGGAAGGGAGAGAGCAUUCCCCAUAAAGGAAUAGCAGAGGCUUCUGGAUAGUCCAGGCCCGUGUUUCCAAGUCAUUAAAAACGCCACAGACCUGAGACUACAACAGAAGGCUCAAGGAUGAAAGAUUCUGCAAAACACUCUCAGCAGAAUAAACACCAAAUGGCUUCUAUGACUCAAGAAUUUUCAUGACAUCAGCCAUCCCAAGACGGUUUAGGGUCAGAAUAUUUAAAGUCUUCUCACAACUGGUGAAAGUUGGAACUCAAAUAACUGCUCAAGUCCGCAGAGGUCCCGGAUGCAGUCAUCGCAAGGGCAUCUGUUUCUGCAGAGCCUGAGACAGAAUUCAGGGGUCCGGGAUCCACUGAGAGGGUCCUUGAAAGGAAGAAGCUGCAGGAGCUGAGGGAAGCAGGCUGGGGAAGAGGGGGAGACCCUCCAGCAAGGCACCUUGGCUUUUGUACCCCUCCUGUCCCGUCCAUCAUUUACUACAGGCUGGGUGGAGAGGACAGUGGCCUCCUGCAAAGAGGCUUCUGUUGGCCCAGGGCAAUUCUCUGGAGAAAGGGAAGCUGUGCGAUAUUCGCAGCCGACACUCCUGGAAGCUGGGGAAGUGGCCUGCCAGAGGGGUCCAGGCUGGGCGGUGUCCACUCCAGUAGCUCCUUGAGCACCACACCCAUCUUUAAAUAGCAGUUCCUGUUGGCAGUCAGCUCAGCCCAUUACUUUCGCGCAGUCCUCAUGAUUUGUACAGCCAACAUCUAGAAAACCAUUUGGUUUUUCUACCAAACAAAUCUCAUCUCAAUCGCCAAGAUGCAGAUCGGUUUCUGAGACACUGCGCAUCUCCUGUGCUAGCAGCAACACCAAAAUAAGGGGACGUGGAUCGGCACUGGGUUGUGGCAUGGGCCUCCAGUUUGCCUUCAGAAAUGAACUUCCUUCAGAUCCCAGGAAAUCUGGGGAGUAAGAGAGAAACAGAAUGAAAGUUCGAGAAGGGGACAGAAAGUGUCUUCUCUCAAACCAUAAAUCAUAGAAAUUGAAUUAGAUCAUCUCAAAUUGAGAGACAAAAAGCCAGUUAUAGAUCCAUUUCACGACACCGGCUGACAUGGAUUCCAUCU